GAUGAACGCUGGCGGCGUGCCUAACACAUGCAAGUCGAGCGAACAGACGAGGAGUUUGCUCCUUCGACGUUAGCGGCGGACGGGUGAGUAACACGUAGGUCACCCCCCUAUAUGACUGGGAUAACUUCGGGAAACCGGAGCUAACACCGGAUAAUAUUUCGAACCGCAUGGUUCGAUAGUGAAAGAUGGCUUUGCUAUCACUUAUAGAUGGACCUGCGCCGCAUUAGCUAGUUGGUAACGUAACGGCUUACCAAGGGAACGAAACGUAGCCGACCUGAGAGGGGGAUCGCGCACACGGGAGCUGAGCCGCGGUCCAGGGUCCUACGGGAGGCACCAGUAGGGAACGGUCGGCAAUGGGCGGAAGCCUGACGGAGCGGCGCAGCGUGGGUGAUGAAGGUCUUCGGAUCGUAAAAAUGUGUUAUUGGGGAAAAACAACCUUGUCAGUGACUGUGCACGAAGUGACGGUACCUGAACAAGAAGCCACGGCUAACUACGUG
rnacentral:rRNA from 1 species